rnacentral:rRNA from 1 species
CGUAGGGACCGAGCGUUGUCCGGAUUCAUUGGGCGUAAAGAGCUCGUAGGCGGCUGCUCAAGUCGAAUGUGAAACCUCGAGGCUUAACCUCGAGCCUGCAUUCGAUACUGGGCGGCUAGAGUCUGGUAGGGGGAUCUGGAAUUCCUGGUGUAGCGGUGGAAUGCGCAGAUAUCAGGAGGAACACCGGUGGCGAAGGCGGGAUCCUGGGCCAGUACUGACGCUGAGGAGCGAAAGCGUGGGGAGCAAACAGGAUUAGAUACCCUGGUAGUCCGCGCCGUAAACGAUGGGCGCUAGGUGUGGGAGGUCAUCGACUCCUUCCGUGCCGCAGCUAACGCAUUAAGCGCCCCGCCUGGGGAGUACGGCCGCAAGGCUA